CCCCCCUCCCCCCCCAGUUUUGCUCUGGUACUAGUUCUUCACACUUCCUCCUUGCAUUAGAUGAGUAGGGGUGGCAAAUAUGAACUCAGACCUGUAAAUACAACCCAAAUCCUUUUGAAAGAUUAGGGUUAUGAGUUUAGCGUUUCAAUCCGAAGUCGGAUAUGAUUUACAUAUAAAAUAACUUGAAUGGGUUGGAUUGAUUCUUAAACUUGGCUUUAUAUACAUAUGAAGCAUUUCCAUAAGUACUGUUGAUUUAAGUGUAGAAGGCUGAGUUUUAAUCAAAAUAGGAUGCACUAUUUGUAUUGGUUUGUGUUGAAUAUGAUGGUAAGAUAAGAUUUUUAAUUUUAUAUUUUGAUGUUAUUUUAGCUAAAAAAAUUAAUAACUUUCCACUAAUUAAAUUUAAAAUGUAAUUGUAAGGUGACCUAAUUGGAAUUAUUAGAUAAUUAAGAUAUCAUAUGAUGUUAACCCUAAUUUUUCCUUGGUAUUGUAAAUUAUAAUCAUCAUAUCAUAUAAAAUAUUAAAAGUAAAAAAGCAUUAAAUUCAUGUUCUUUUAGUGUUUUUAAUUUUAUUUUAAUGGAUAUACAAAUAUGAGAACAACCUCUUUUAUACAUUAUAAAAUCUAAAAAAAACAUAUAAAAAAUCUAUAAAUCAAGAGCAUAUAAAAAGAGAUGGAGUUGGCAACCACUUGUUGAAGAAGUACUGGAAAAGGUUGCCAUAAAAUGCCUAUAAAAGAGGCAUAUUUUGUGAGAGCAAGUUUGAGAGAGUGUGAGAGAGAACGUGAGUGUGUGCAAGAGAGUGGAGAGAAAGAGAGCUGCAAUGGGAGUUAAUGAGUUAAGUAGAGUGGAUGUAAUUCUCCUCCUCUACAUGUAUUUAUUGUAACCUUUCUCUAUUUCUAAUACAAUGACUAUCUCCUGUAGAUGUAGGCGGUUUUGCCGGCGGUUUUGCCGAACCACGUUAAAUAUUAUGUCUCAGUGUGCUUAGCCUCCUUUGAGCAACUAUCAGUACACCACCGGUCCGUGCAUGGGGGAGCAGGAAUCCCCAACAGAAUCUUCAAAGCUUAAGGUUGCAUUGCAACACCGUAUAAAACUUCCACGGAAGGGCUCUAUAUGACAGAGAAUUGAUCAUCUCUUACUUUCCUUUCAAGACGUUCAAAACUCUUGCAAUAUCAUUCUCAACAAUGACCCUUUUCACUAGGAUUACUCCUCCUUGUGGUUCAAGCCUUUUAUAUGCAGAACCGGAUCUGUCUAUCUCUGGGCUGCUCAUUUAGCUGGCCCCAGAUGGGGCCAUUUGCAUCAUGGUGUUGUGCUUGGCUUGAGACCACAGGGCUAGUUGCAGGCAUCGGUACUCAGGUAGUUUUCUUUUCAGUGGACUCUCACCAUUAGAGAAUGAGAUUCAGAUGUUGACUUCUUUUACUUCGAAGGCAUAUGCUGGUUCACAAACUUUGCAGAGUAUCAUCCUAUUAUCCACUGGCACAAAUAAAAAUGGAGGAUUUUGCACCUAAAUGGUUGUUCUUAUGCAUGUACAUUGGCCUCACGUUGAUAUGGGCAGUGCUCACCACAUUUGCAUUAGAAGUAAUAGCCUUGAUCGAUGUAAUUUCCAUAUGUUGGGGUAAAAUCUAAUGCUUUUUGUAUGACUGCUAUAUUUUUUCCUUUUCCCCUUCCUCUCAAGUGCAAAAAUAAAAACUAUUGAUUGCGAUUUCUUAUGGUAAGUUAUUGGAGGACUGGUUAUUGUUAUAAUGCUUCCUUUGGUGGCACUGACGACGACAAAAUCUGCUUCAUAUGUGCUCACACAUUUCGAAAUGGCACCCGAAUCGACAGGAAUAUCAAACAAACCUUACGCAGUCAUUCUAUCUUUCCUUGUUACUCAGUAUUCCCUAUAUGGAUACGAUGCUGCAGACCAUCUUACAGAAGAAACUAAAGGAUUUUGGCUGCCUUUAUUACCCAAGAAAUGAGAAUGCAGGUGAAUUGUGCCAGCUCAAAUACUCUAUGAUGCAUUCCAUGGCAGACAUCAUAAUUCUGCUGGAGCAAUCGUUUUUACUGUUUACCAUAUGGGGCUCAUUCUUCUUCAGAGGGCUCUCGAUCACCACCAGUGCAGCUAGUGUGAGGCAGUGGAGCAACGUAUUCAGCUUCUGCUGUAGAUUGGGCAACAAUUUCUUAUUUCUUUGAGCUCCAUGAAAAAACACCUGAACCAAAGCUGAAGCAAUAACCAGAGCUUCCUGUUAUCAGCAAAUCGUCAACAUAAAGAGAUACAACAAGUAUCUGUCCUUCAGCUCCUUUUACGUAAAGAGUAGAUUCACUUAGACUUCUUAUAAAGCCUAAGUUUUGCAAAAAAACCUUCAGGUUGUUCAACAAAGAUUUCUUCCUCCAAGUAACCAUUCAAAAAAGCUAACUUUACAUCCAUUUGAUGUAAAGUCCAGCCUUUUUGUGCAGCAAGUGCCAGCAGCAUCCUUAUUGUAUCCAUCCUUGCAACUGGAGCGAAUGUUUAAGAAAAAUCCACCCCAAACAUCUGAGCAUAUCCCUUGACAACCAGCCUUGCCUUGUAUUUAUUCACAGAACCAUCCGAAUUCAAUUUGGUCCUGAAAAUCCAUUUGACUCCUAUGGCUUUUUUGU